rnacentral:rRNA from 1 species
AUUGAACGCUGGCGGCAGGCCUAACACAUGCAAGUCGAGCGAGCGGCGGACGGGUGAGUAAUGUAUGGGGACUGCCCGAUAGAGGGGGAUAACUACUGGAAACGGUGGCUAAUACCGCAUACUAUCGGAUAACCCAUAUGGGAUUAGCUAGUAGGUGGGGUAAAGGCUCACCUAGGCGACGAUCUCUAGCUGGUCUGAGAAGAUGAUGAGCACAAGUGGGAAUGUGACCCGCCCAAGACUCCGACGGAGGCAGCAGGGGGGAAUAGUGAACAAGGGGCGCAAGCGUGAUGCAGCCAUGCGGCGUGUAGGAAGAAGGCCUUAGGGUUGAAAGGUACUUUCAGCGGGGAGGCGUUACCCGAAGAAGAAGCCCCGGCUAACGCCGUGCCAGCCGCCGCGGUAAUUC